GUUAAGUCACUCAGUCGUGUCUGACUCUUUUUGUGUGUGACCCUGUGAGCUGUAGCUUGCCGGGCUCCUCCCUCCAAGGGAUUUCCUGGGCAAGAAUCCUGGAAUGGGUUGCCAUUUCCUUCUCCAGGGGAUUUUCCUGACCCAAGAGUCAAAUCCGAGUCUCCUGUUUGGCAGGCAGAUUCUUUACCACUGAGCCAC